AGAGUUUGAUCCUGGCUCAGAAUGAACGCUGGCGGCGUGCUUAAGACAUGCAAGUCGUACGAGAAAGUCCCGCAAGGGACAAGUACAGUGGCGCACGGGUGAGUAAUACUUAGGUAACGUACCCAUUCGCUGGGGAUAACCAGGCGAAAGCUUGGCUAAUACCGAAUGAUUCGGAAGAAACCUCGGUUUUUUCCGACAAAGCCGUAAGGCGCGGAUGGAGCGGCCGAAGUCCUAUUAGCUAGUUGGUAGGGUAAAGGCCUACCAAGGCAAAGAUGGGUAGCUGGUCUGAGAGGACGACCAGCCACACUGGUACUGGAAUACGGACCAGACUCCUACGGGAGGCAGCAGUUAGGAAUUUUGCGCAAUGGGCGAAAGCCUGACGCAGCGACGCCGCGUGAGGGAUGAAGGCCUUCGGGUUGUAAACCUCUUUUGAUGGGGACGAAAAAAAUGACGGUACCCAUCGAAUAAGCACCGGCUAACUCUGUGCCAGCAGCCGCGGUAAUACAGAGGGUGCAAGCGUUAUUCGGAUUUACUGGGCGUAAAGGGCGCGUAGGCGGUCUAGUUAGUCUGUUGUGAAAGCCCUGGGCUUAAUCCCAGGAAGUGCAGCGGAUACUGCUAGGCUCGAGUGCAGGAGAGGAGGACGGAAUUCCCGGUGUAGAGGUGAAAUUCAGAUAUCGGGAGGAACAACAGAAGCGAAGGCGGUUCUCUGACUGUAACUGACGCUGAGCGCGAAAGCGUGGGGAGCAAACAGGAUUAGAUACCCUAGUAGUCC
rnacentral:rRNA from 1 species